rnacentral:sRNA from 1 species
AAUCGAGCUUGACUGGCAAACUGCCUUUUGAUUUCUGAUUCGAUUCGAGAACAAACAAAGAGAUAUUUGGUUUCAUGUAUUUAUAAACUUUGUAUUGUGUUGUGUCUCUUUGACUUUUCUUUCCUAUGGUGAGGUUGAGUUUGCACUUUGCAUAAUUCGGAUUUAGAGGGUAAAAUUGCAAAUAAAAUUGACUUAGAGGGUUAUUUUGCAAAAUUCCCUUUUUUAAACUAAAUAAUU